rnacentral:rRNA from 1 species
UACGUAGGGACCAAGCGUUGUUCGGAUUUACUGGGCGUAAAGGGCGCGUAGGCGGCGUGUUAAGUCACUUGUGAAAUCUCUGAGCUUAACUCAGAACGGUCAAGUGAUACUGAUGUGCUAGAGUGCAGAAGGGGCAACCGGAAUUCUUGGUGUAGCGGUGAAAUGCGUAGAUAUCAAGAGGAACACCUGAGGUGAAGACGGGUUGCUGGGCUGACACUGACGCUGAGGCGCGAAAGCGUGGGGAGCAAACAGG